CCCAUUAGCUGUCGACCAGAUCGUGGGUGGGCAUUCCUGUUCGUUCUUCCACCACGAGAGAGGUUCCGCCGCCGCCGUGUCCAUCCCAACUCCGGUGCCACGACGGUGGACAACGGCUCCUCGGCCUCCACCCUCACCAUCGCGCGGAGGAUCUCAGCCUCUCCAUCCCCAUUCCCAUCCCGACUACGCCGUCUGCGCCGCGGUCGGCGUCCGGGUCGUCGUGGCGGAGGAUCUCGGCCUCUCCAUCCCCAUUACCGUCCCCACUCCGCCGUCUGCGCCGCGGUCGGCGUCCGGGUCGUCGUGGCGGAGGAUCUCGGCCUCUCCAUCCCAUUCCCAUCCCGACUCCGCUAUCUGCGCCGCGGUCGGCGUCCGGGUCGGCCUCCCUCAAUAAUAUAUCUUACUUUUGCUCAGGGAGCUUUCAACCAUUUUUGGUGGUCACCUUGAUGAGCAAUUUCGUCAGGUGGAGGACUUGCAGGAUGAAGCUAGUCCUAAUUUUGUGGAAGAAGUUGCUGUGUUGUUUUUCAAAGAUUCAGGCAGGCUAAUAUCAAACCUUGAGCAAGCUUUGGAGAAGUACCCCAGAGAUUUCAAUAGGUGGGAUGCAUACAUGCAGCAACUGAAAGGCAGCUGUUCCAAGUAACUACACAAUUGGUUCUUGAUAUCUUUGUUCACUUGCCUAUGAGGGAUGUAGUGCGAAAGAUUCAGCAUCAUCGGCCUUCAGCUUCAUUCUUUUGCAUACCACAAGAACUAUCAUGACUUUGAGUUUAGCUAGGCAUGUAGGGAAGCUGGCACACCCUUUCUGGAACCAUAUUUUUUGUUCUUCAAAUGAAGGCUAAGAGUACUUAACUAAUUGUCUUCAUUUCUCUGGCUUAAGCACUCUUGAUUUCUGGGAAAUGCUGUUGAAUGAAAGCAUGACUCUGGACUGUUAUGUGUUUGGUAAUAAAUUUGAUCUAGCAUUGACAUUUGACAACUCGAUGCAUCAUUGGUGCUUCUAGGAUGAAGAGUGAAUGCAUGUCAUUCAAAGAUAACUGUGGGAAAGGAAAUGUUGAAGGAGCAUGCUGAAGCAAGGUGAUCCUGAAAAGAUUAUGGAUGGCACUGAUUUCUACCCUGACGAUGACGAAGACCUGAGCCGCAAGCAUAAGUUUAAGACCUGGCGUGGCAAGAUCGACGACACAGGUGGAUUGGAAGUAUUGGAUGGGCCAGAACCAGAGAAAUAGGCUACCUGGUGCCGGCGAUGCAGGACCGGGCCGAUCCGCUGGUGGCGGCGGCCGCCCACGAUGCAGGAUGGCGGCGGUUGCCCUAGAUGCAGGAGGACGGGGUGUCGAUGGCGGCAGCGGUCUCCACGCGGGACGAUGGGAUCUCGAGGGUGUCGACGGAGGCGGCGGUUGCGCUCCGCGCAGGACGACGCCGAGGGGAUGCCGUGAUGGCGGUGGCGGUCACACGACGGAGGCUGGCGAGGGUGUUGACGGAGGCUCGCGAGGGUGUCGACGGAGGCGACGGUUGCGCUCCGCGAAGGACGACGCCGACGGGAUGGCGGCGGCGGUCACGCUCCAGGGAGAACGCGAUGUUGAGGGAGGCCGGCGACUGCUCUCGUGAUGGAGCCUGCCGACUUCUCUCCUGCUGGGCCAAUUGUUGGGCCCGUUUCGGGACAGCUAAUUUUUCUUUCCGAUGGUGUACUUGUUGAUGGGCUGUCGGGCCGUUUAAUCCUGACUGUUGACUAAUCAUACCUCUUCCCUUACCAGCUGUGGUAAAAGGUACUGUAAAAGAAGCCUUUUUCUAGCACAAACACGAAAAAAUGUGACGAA